rnacentral:rRNA from 1 species
AUUGAACGCUGGCGGCAUGCCUUACACAUGCAAGUCGAACGGCAGCACGGGUGCUUGCACCUGGUGGCGAGUGGCGAACGGGUGAGUAAUACAUCGGAACAUGUCCUGUAGUGGGGGAUAGCCCGGCGAAAGCCGGAUUAAUACCGCAUACGAUCUACGGCUGAAAGCGGGGGACCUUCGGUCCUCGCGCUAUAGGGUUGGCCGAUGGCUGAUUAGCUAGUUGGUGGGGUAAAGGCCUACCAAGGCGACGAUCAGUAGCUGGUCUGAGAGGACGACCAGCCACACUGGGACUGAGACACGGCCCAGACUCCUACGGGAGGCAGCAGUGGGGAAUUUUGGACAAUGGGCGAAAGCCUGAUCCAGCAAUGCCGCGUGUGUGAAGAAGGCCUUCGGGUUGUAAAGCACUUUUGUCCGGAAAGAAAUCCUUGGCUCUAAUACAGUCGGGGGAUGACGGUACCGGAAGAAUAAGCACCGGCUAACUACGUG